rnacentral:rRNA from 1 species
UUGAACGCUGGCGGCAUGCCUUACACAUGCAAGUCGAACGGUAACGCGGGGCAACCUGGCGACGAGUGGCGAACGGGUGAGUAAUGCAUCGGAACGUGCCCAGUAGUGGGGGAUAGCCCGGCGAAAGCCGGAUUAAUACCGCAUACGACCUACGGGUGAAAGCGGGGGACCGCAAGGCCUCGCGCUAUUGGAGCGGCCGAUGUCGGAUUAGCUAGUUGGUGGGGUAAGCCUAC